GAUGAACGCUAGCGGCAGGCUUAAUACAUGCAAGUCGAGGGGUAACAUGGUAGCAAUACUGAUGACGACCGGCAAACGGGUGCGGAACACGUACAGAACCUUCCUUUGAGCGGGGGAUAGCCCAUAGAAAUAGUGGAUUAAUACCCACUAGUAAUAUUGUCUGGCAUCAGAUGUUAUUUAAAGAUUUAUCACUUAAAGAUGGCUGUGCGGCUGAUUAGGUAGNGGUUGGGGUAACGGCCCACCAAGCCAGCGAUCAGUAACUGGUGUGAGAGCACGACCAGUC
rnacentral:rRNA from 1 species